rnacentral:lncRNA from 1 species
UUCUUUCUGCCUGCCACAGGAGCCUGCGUAAGAGUGUGUCUGAAGGGGGCUUUCUCAAAACACUCAGAAAAGAAGCCUGUACUUUGCACCGGCCGGAGGGGUUUCAAUCCAGCUGGUUCCAGCUGCUCUGAGGCGGGGUGGUGUGUUCUUUGGGAAAGAGGUGUACAGGCUUCUCCACUGGGCAGAAAAGGGGUGCCUGAUCAUUCUGCGACUGUGUGCAACUGCUUCUGCAACUGUAUUUAACUCUUUUUUUGAAAAUUCAUUUACUCACUCCAUGUCUCCUGCCUUUCUUCUUUCACUAUUACUAUUUUUAAUAUCUUCUCUGACUUGUGCUUUGAUCUGGUUCGCCUGCUUGUCACAUUUCAUUCCUCCUACUGCCUCUGUGACUGUCUUCUACAUUGUCCUCUGACCUGCUGUUACUUUAUUUCUAUUUCUCCACAUCUCGAUUGUGCGUGCAUGUGUGUGUGUGAAGAGAGGUAGAAGGAGGGGAAGAAGGAGAGAGAGAAUGCUAGUCUGCUAUGUGAGUGUGGGUGCCUGAAGAAGUCAGAAGAGGGCAUCAAUAACCGUGAAGCUGGGGACAGGCACAUAGCUAUGCGCUACUCAAAAUGAUGGGUGCUAGAAACUGAACUCAGCUCCUCUGGUAAAGAACUAUGUGCUCUUAACCCCGAGUCAUCUUUGCAGCCCCCUGCUUGGUUGGUUGCCUGACUGUUUCAGGUAUUGUUUGUCUGUUUCCUGUAAAGACAGGAGGCAUAGAGUUAUUUCUAAGCCUUUGCCACAUAGAUCAUCUAACCACUGGCAAAGGUCCUUUGAAUGUCUUUUACAGAACAAAUUUUUAAGUCAAUAAACAGAUUAGAUGUAACAGUCAGCACUCGUCAAGGCUGUAAUUCCCUUAGAAUCUAAUGUACUUUGGUUGGAUGGAGAGGAUACAGCUGGAGAGGGGGGUGCUCAGGCGACACAGUGUUUCUGCACGAGCUGAGAACCUGACUUUGUUUCCUGGAAGCCAAACAUGCAUACGUGUACCUGCACACACCCAUGGGGAGAUAUACUUGGUAAAUGGGACCAGCAAGAUCAAAUAGUAAAGUACUUACAAAACCAUGUUUGAUGGAAAUGAAAUCUCUCACAGCGAAUGUUUUUCUCCUUGGUAUUGACAGGUGCCACUGUAGCAUUGUGACCAGCAGGUGACUUCAUUAGCAAGCACACGUGACCCUUAAUGCAUUGGGGAAAUGAGAACCCCUUGUGUGGCUUCUAUCCUGGUUUUGCUUGUUGAACUGUGAAAACUUAUGGUUCUAGGCAAGGCUCCUCUUACUCCUUAUCCACCCUCUAUACAUUUUUUUUCUGCAUCCUAACAAACACAAGCAACUUGGUGAUGACUCUGAAAAUCUGAACACUCCAGCCAUUCUGCUAAUAUCUGUGAAAACUAUAUAUGCCUGACCCAGCUUCAGCCUCACAGCCACGUGUGGAAGCGCCACCCCAAGCAGGAGCUUCCAAUUCACUGCAACCCAACUUAUUGCAUGGUUGAGCAGCUACUGGAAUGAGAAGAAGCUGGGCAAGAUUUUGCAGGCUUUGGUGUAAGGAGAACAACAAAGAGGAGGCGUUCUUCUCACCUCUGCUGGAGGAAGCUGACACGCUGUGCUGCUUCUCCUCCUGCUCCUUGGAAAGUUGCUGCUGACAAGUCUGGGCCCAUGUGGGCUUCCUAGUCAGGUAUCUGGACCUCUUGGUCAAAUAAGUACCAAUGUAACUGGAACUCAGAGACACGCCUAAAAGUCAGACCUGGCAUCCAUGAGUGCCUUCCACGGACCCAAGAAAGAGAGUGGUUGGAGGCCAUCUUUUUCUUCUCUCCCUACCUACCAUUCUCCCUUCACUUCUUCAUUCUGUCUGUGAUGGUUUAAAUACACUUGGCCCAUGGGAAGUGGCACUAUUAGGAGGUGUGGCCUUGCUGGGGAAGUGCAUCACUGUGGGAAUGGGCUUCGAGGUCCUAUGUUCAAUCUCUGCCCAGUACAGAAGAGGCCUUCCUGCUUACUACCUGUGGAAGCCAGUCUCCUCCUAGAUGCCUUUGGAUCAAGAUAGAGAACUCUUGACUCCUCCGGCACCAUGUCUGCCUGCAUGCUGCAAUGCUUCCCACCAUGAUAAUAGUCUGAACCUCUGAAAUUGCAAGACAUCCUCAAUUAAGUGGUGCCUUUUAUAAGAGUUGUCUGGGUCAUGGUGUCUCUUCACAGCAAUCAAACUCUAACUAAAUAAUAAAUAAAUAAAUAGAUAGAUAGAUAGAUAGA